GAGACUUUAAGCGUGGGCGGGGCCCCAAGGGCGGGGGCGGGGCCCCAAGGGCGGGGGCGGGGCCUCGCCCGCUGAUUGUAACCCCGCCCCUUCCCCCCUAGCCCGGGACCGGAGGAGCUCGGCGGAAGGGAGCGACGCUUACGUGGAUAGAGAGAAGAGUCCCGGAUUGCCAGAGGCUGGAGCCUCCGCGGGGGCCCUCCCCUGGAAACGUCAAAUGAGCUGGGGGAGGGGCCCCGGUCUUCCCUGGCCUGCAAAGAUCCCGGGACUUAGAAUCGGUAGGGACAUUAGCGGUCACCCAGUCCAACCCCAUCGCGUCAACUGAGCAUCUGUGUUAACCUGUCCCUGACUAAGCAGCUGUAUCUGAAUGAAAGGCAGUGAGCUGCAAAGCUGAGAGUGGCUCUGGAGCCAAGAAGCCCUGGAUUCAAAUCCACCUCGUGUCCUAGGCUAGCAUGAGAGACCUACGACAAGUUACUUGACUUGCCUGUGGUUUUCUUUCUGUGGCUGUGAAAAGAAUAAAAUUUAAAAGUUCUUAA